UGCGUAGGUGGCGCGGUAAGUCGGGUGUGAAAUUUCGGAGCUCAACUCCGAAACUGCAUUCGAUACUGCCGUGCUUGAGGACUGGAGAGGAGACUGGAAUUUACGGUGUAGCAGUGAAAUGCGUAGAGAUCGUAAGGAAGACCAGUGGCGAAGGCGGGUCUCUGGACAGUUCCUGACACUGAGGCACGAAGGCCAGGGAGGCAAACG
rnacentral:rRNA from 1 species